rnacentral:rRNA from 1 species
GGCGCUGGUUGGCCCAUGGUCGGAUGAGGCAACGAAGGUGUCGAUUGGGUGAGAACCCUAGCCUUCGUCCCCUCCCUCCCUUCUCCCCCUCGCGCCGCCUCCCCAUCCUCUCCCGUCGCUGCUGUUCCCCCUGGCGCCGCCCCCAGCCUCAUCACCUGGACACGGCGACCAUGAGCGCCAGCGAGAGGAGGAAGGCUGGCGACGCGAGGGGCCCGACGGCCACCUCUGCGCGCGUGCCAUCGCCGUCACCACCAACGCCGGGGGCUACGGCCACGCAUCGCCAUCGCCGGGACGAGCGUCGGCCGCCGAGACGGCCGUCCACGUCGUUGUUGCCGUCGUCCUCGCCCCGACAGAUCGCCUCUCCGGCGCGGACUCCUCCUUCGACCACAACGCCGGCAAGUGGAACGGCAUCUUCUAGCAAUUGGAUGCGCACGGGAGGGUGUAGCAGGAGAUCAGCACGCGGCUGUCCGCCAGCACAUACGGGGAGGGUGACCUCAUCAUCCUCAUGCAAUCGCUGUAUAUCAAGCAGGCUUCGUCCGGGAUAACAUUUGCAGACGAAGAUGAUCCGGAGCCAGAGUGGGCGGAGUACAAGAUCAAAAAACCAACAUGUUCACCGUAGGGAUUAAUGGCUCGGAUGAAUGCACCAAAAAUAGUCCCCUGGAAAACGGAAUUCCAACUUUGAUUACAUGGAGUCAAGGAGGAAAUGAGGUCAUUUCUGGAGGGAUCAUGGGAUAACUGGACAUCAAGGAUUAUUGUUGAUGGGGUGCCGAGACAUGUGUCUAAACUACCUCAUGUGACUGAUGAAAGAGGGCAGGUGACCGACCUCCUUGAUAUCCAUGCCAACUAUGCAAUUUCUUCUAGCACCUGUGCCGUUGGUUGGAUGAUGUUUACGGAAGAAUAGAUGUCUUCCCGCAGCACUUCACGCCCAAGAAAGAGCCCAUGGAGGCAUGGACGCUGCCGAUGGUUUGUCCACAAGUAAGAGCAACAUGGAUCCGUCACCAAGUCCACGCAGGCGUUCUUGGACCCCGAAACGAGUCAAGGGAGCUUCGUCGCUUCUGCAACUGUUGUCUAUUCCUCGCAUUAGGUGGUCUUCCAGCAACAAGGAUGACGACAAGAUUGAAUUGACAAGAGCUGAAGUAGAAUCAUUACGAAGCGAAAUUGCCGAUGCCGAUGAAAGGGAGUCCCAGCUAAAAGCCCGGUUAGAAAAUAUUGACGAAGUCUUGAGAUAUGCAUUCCUUUCCAGGUACCUCCAUAUCAGAAGUAGAUGGACUCAACUUCCUGGGGAGCCACCUAUCAUAGACGACGCCGAUGUCGAUGACUGGCUUCCUCGCUUUGUUGUCCUACAAGCAGUGUUUAUACUACUAUCUGAAGUCUACAGACCUGAGCCCGCAGGAAUCGCUGCUGCUGCGCGACGUGGAACCCACGUCCUACCCCGACGAUGGCGGUCGACCACAACCUCCCUCUCAGGGGCUUACACCGUUGCGGUUCCUCAGGACUCGGAAGGAGGAGCGUGGGCCGUAGAGACGGAAGAGGAGGCUGAGACAGCCGCGGUGCCUGCUGCAGCGACCAUGGCCACUACAUCGAAAAGAAAGACAACAAAAUGUAUUAGGCCCCCUUGUGCUGGAUUGGGCUCAACCCAAUUAUAAAAGAGUAGCAAAUGAGAGGAACACAAGAAGUCAAGAAGACACCUUUCUCUCCAUGUCUAAGUUUCACGGUACCUCGCCUGGAUCCGGAAGUGCGGCUACGGCGACCUCGACAUAGUCAAGGAGAUUCUAAAAACUUAGCAAUGGCAGGGCUCCUGGAGCUCAAUCCUCACCACCAUCAGCAGAUGAUGAUGAUGCACAAGUGAUGGUUCAUCUGAAGAUGGCGCAGCAGAGCACCGGCAGCAACCACAUCAUGAAAGGGUCGAGGGAAGAUUAUCUGAUAUGUGUCACUGAAAGCGAAGGUAAAAUUCCAAUACAGCACCUUCAUAUUACCUGCCAAUUCACAAGUGCAUGUUCUGUAUCAAAAUUAACUGUUCCCUCUUCGUUACAUUGGUAUAUGUUCUGAAUGGGUUGAUGAAUAUCUUGGUAUAUGUAGUUUCAAAGCUUCAUUACAUUGUAGCAGGGAAAAUUGGUAUGAAGAUUGUGCAGCACCAUGCCUUAGCCAGCCCCUUAAUUUGCUAGAACAGAGGGCUAAUCUUCUUACUCAUUUGCCGCCUAAUUUAUAUGGUUCUGCUAUGAACCAUUCCUACUUUGGCAAUAAAUUGCAUCACUUUAUGCCAUAGAAGAACCAUAUAAAUCAGUAUCCGGCAACGGUGACGCGGGGCCAGGCACGAGGAGGGGUGGUGAGCCACCGGCGGCUGGGUUCCCCCCAAUCGCCCAGGUUGGGCGACACCUAAUUUAUAUGGUACAUAUUGAACAAAGG